UACAGAGGGUGCAAGCGUUAAUCGGAAUUACUGGGCGUAAAGCGCGCGUAGGUGGUUUGUUAAGUUGGAUGUGAAAGCCCCGGGCUCAACCUGGGAACUGCAUCCAAAACUGGCAAGCUAGAGUACGGUAGAGGGUGGUGGAAUUUCCUGUGUAGCGGUGAAAUGCGUAGAUAUAGGAAGGAACACCAGUGGCGAAGGCGACCACCUGGACUGAUACUGACACUGAGGUGCGAAAGCGUGGGGAGCAAUCAGG
rnacentral:rRNA from 1 species